rnacentral:snoRNA from 1 species
AGGGACAAUGAUAAUAGUGUGUCAUGAAAAGAAUUAUCAUUAAUCCAAUUUUGUGUAUCUGAGGUCCAAU